GGCCCCGUCGCCAAGUGGUAAGGCAGCGGUCUGCAACACCGUUAUCACCAGUUCGAAUCUGGUCGGGGCCUCCA
rnacentral:tRNA from 2 species